rnacentral:rRNA from 2 species
UCGCCAAGCCGUAUAGUGCAGUCGAGCGGACUUUUGGGAGCUUGCUCCCAAAAGUUAGCGGCGGACGGGUGAGUAACACGUGGGCAACCUGCCUGUAAGACUGGGAUAACUUCGGGAAACCGGAGCUAAUACCGGAUAAUCCUUAUCAACACAUGUUGGUAAGCUGAAAGUCGGUUUCGGCUGACACUUACAGAUGGGCCCGCGGCGCAUUAGCUAGUUGGUGAGGUAACGGCUCACCAAGGCAACGAUGCGUAGCCGACCUGAGAGGGUGAUCGGCCACACUGGGACUGAGACACGGCCCAGACUCCUACGGGAGGCAGCAGUAGGGAAUCUUCCACAAUGGACGAAAGUCUGAUGGAGCAACGCCGCGUGAGCGAUGAAGGCCUUCGGGUCGUAAAGCUCUGUUGUUAGGGAAGAACAAGUAUCGGAGUAACUGCCGGUACCUUGACGGUACCUAACCAGAAAGCCACGGCUAACUACGUGCCAGCAGCCGCGGUAAUACGUAGGUGGCAAGCGUUGUCCGGAAUUAUUGGGCGUAAAGCGCGCGCAGGCGGUCCUUUAAGUCUGAUGUGAAAGCCCACGGCUCAACCGUGGAGGGUCAUUGGAAACUGGGGGGACUUGAGUGCAAAAAACGAAACCGGA